ensembl:lncRNA
CAUAAAAUUUUUAGUAGUAUCUGAUGAUUGUCAAGUAGCCUCUCAGACUAAUGUGUCAGAAUGUUAAGUGAGUGAGUGAGGGUGUGUAUGUGUGUGUGUGUGUGUGUGUGUGUUAGACAUCUCCCUGACUCCCCCCGCCUACCCACUCCCUCAUGCAGCUGCUAUCAUCCUCCUCUACGUUUUCCGUUAGCCUUGCUCUUUGCUAGCCCGUGUCCCGCUAGCUCCUGGUCCUCCAAGCCUCACCAACAAGAGAAGACGUCCCUCGUUGUGAAUAGCCUGCUUCGGUCAGUGCCCUUUUCCGUUUGAAGCGACUCUCUUGGAGCCUCCCAGCCAGAGGCACAUAACAGACGCGGGUUUCUGUUUCUGUUUCUAUGCAAAGCCAAGGAGACUCAAGGGGGGCAAGGAGGGCAGGAGGGCGGGGGGGGGGGCGGAGGCGGCGACGGCAGCGUUUCAAUGGCAGCCCUUUACCACAACGUGCCAAUCAUGUCUGUGGAGGCCUCCUCUUGCCUCCAGCACGUGUGCAGCCACUCCUCUCCUCUCUGUUCAUGUCUCACUCGGAACCAUGGCGACGUGGUCCCAUGAUGCUCUCUUUCUUGCUCACUCCAAAUCAGGUGUUCCACAGGAAGGAUGUGUCACCGUUUACUCUGCUGAAAAAGAAAAAAAAAAGGAAAAGGAAAAAAAAAAACAACAAAAACAUCUCACAUCAGCUUUGAUCUCAGGGCAGGGCGGGGCAAACAACAGAAAUAUAUUUAGAAGCUAAAGUAUGUUUCUAGACUAAAGGCAUCGCGGGGAAUCUGUUUGGGGCACGGUGUCAUAGAGCUACCAUGUUUAGGAGUGGCAAGUCUUGUCUUGUCUUGUUGCUUGGGUCCUAUUAGAUGUUAUCUCUACAGGGCCUGCUGUAUCUAUCCACAGGAUUGGUGGGAUCUGUUGUCAAUCAAAAGAAAGGGACCCAUUCUUUCCACUCCUUUUGCUGCUGGGCUCACAAGAUGUCCACUUACUUUUCUUUGGUUUUCACUGACUCCACGUGCCAACACAAAGACCUAGAAAACUGAGACGACACCCCCCCCCCCCCCUUUUCCCCCCUUCUCCGCAACCAUUCUGGCUCUAGGCGGAUGGGUAGAAGGAUGCAUCCAAUGUCCUGUCCUGCUGCAAAGCACCUCUGUCACGCCUCUGGGGAGGCAUCAUGUCGGUGGGGAGUCGGGGGACCGACGGCGAGCAACAACCUCAUUCUGAUCAUUCGAGAUAAUCUCUUUUAUUUCCUGUCUUGAGAAAGACCCCAUUUUCAUUGAGCUUGAACUGUCAACUGAGAUGGGGGUGGGGGGGGGAGGGGUUAAAAAUUCUGCUAAGGUGCACAGUUGUUUGGGUAAUCCCUGGUACAUUUUUUGUUUUCUUUUGUUUUUAAAUACCAAAAAUGAAAUUGCAUUUUUUUAUGAAUUUUGACAAAAAAUAGUAAAUGAGUAAAAAAUGUAUAUGUUUAAAAAAAAAAAAAACCUGCACUUCAUACUGAAACGUCUCCUGUCUGUGAACCUGCCUCUCUGUCAACCAGAAGGGGUUCAGACCGGGGGUGCCUUUUUGUGGAUGCUGUAUUUGUCGUAUUCAUUUCUCCUGAAAAACAUUUAAACGAGACGUAAUAGGGCCCAGAGAAUUGUAACAUUUCCAUUCACCACGACUGGUCGGGUCCCGCUGUAUCGACAUUCUCUUCCCUCAGUACUCUGAUGGGAAAGAUACAUUUGAACAGGUACAAUUUUUUUAAGUCUUAACUAUAAGUGGGGUUAAAAGGCCUGCAUCUCAGAAGAAAAGUGUUUUUAAAAGAAAAACAAAAAUCACAAAUGCCUGUGUAUGAAACUGCCUUGUUUGAAACUGUCAUGUCCAGUUUUAACAGUGGACCUCAAAAAUGUCCCCAUUUAGUGUCCGUGUCCCCAAAAGCCAGGACUUAUCUGGUCACCUUACCAGCACUGGGAGAUGAUCCCUGCAGCUUAACUGUGACGUGAAGCGAAGCCGUGCAUCACAGAUGUGUAUGGAUUUCAAUCUAUGAAAUGUUCCCUUUUUAACUCAAAGCUGGAUUGAAUAAACAAUGUAAAAUGAGCA